CUUUAAUUCAAAAACUAUACAAUCUUCUCUUUCUCUCUUAUUUCUUUGUCUCUUUAUCUCUAUCUCUUUUCUCCUUCUUCAUCUUCUGACUUCAUCUUAUCUCUUUUCUCUUCCUUUUUCUCUUCUUCUUCCGUCUUCAUUUUCUUUCUCUUUCUUCCUUCUCUUUUUCUAAUGUUGACGAAGAAAGAGAUCGGUUGGAUUCAUGAGGUAAGACUGGAUUCGAGUUUUAGAUCUCAUGUGAUAGGUUAUUGAAAAAUAUAAUGAGAUACUCAGAUGAAUCAGCGGUCAGUGGUGGUGGACUAUCUGAAUGAGAUUCUUCUAAUCAAAUAUUUUCAGCUUUGAAGCAUAAGGAUGGCGGAAAAGUAAUUUGGAAAAUGGAGCUGAAAUGGAAGGGAUUAUUUCUACUAGAAAAGUGGAACAAGCAUAUAUGUCACCAUAUUGUGAGGAACAUAUAAAUGCCUCACCAAGUAUGGAGUGUUCCACUCUUCCAGCGACCCCUGACUUCAAUCUUUGGCUGAAGGAAUUCCCAGCCCAGAAUUUUCAGAAAGUGUAAGUUACCCAUAAAUUUGAAACACUAUUUCAAUAUAACAUGAAAGAGUUGAUUUGUAGGUUUUCGUAUAUAGCUCUCGAAUUUGUUUGGGCGUAAGUAGUGGAUACUGUACUGGAAGUUUCCAACUAUAUGCCAAACAUCAUCUUAUAUUGUAAUGAAAUUUCCAACUAUAUAGAAAUCUUGGUUUAUGUUCUGGACUACCUUAAUUGAAAUUAAAUUUUGUAAUCUGUUAACCAUGAAAUCUUCUAUUAUAAAACUAUUACAUUAUAAA